GAUGAACGCUGGCGGCGUGCCUAAUACAUGCAAGUCGAGCGAACGGACGAGAAGCUUGCUUCUCUGAUGUUAGCGGCGGACGGGUGAGUAACACGUGGAUAACCUACCUAUAAGACUGGGAUAACUUCGGGAAACCGGAGCUAAUACCGGAUAAUAUAUUGAACCGCAUGGUUCAAAAGUGAAAGACGGUUUUGCUGUCACUUAUAGAUGGAUCCGCGCCGCAUUAGCUAGUUGGUAAGGUAACGGCUUACCAAGGCAACGAUGCAUAGCCGACCUGAGAGGGUGAUCGGCCACACUGGAACUGAGACACGGUCCAGACUCCUACGGGAGGCAGCAGUAGGGAAUCUUCCGCAAUGGGCGAAAGCCUGACGGAGCAACGCCGCGUGAGUGAUGAAGGUCUUCGGAUCGUAAAACUCUGUUAUUAGGGAAGAACAUAUGUGUAAGUAACUAUGCACGUCUUGACGGUACCUAAUCAGAAAGCCACGGCUAACUACGUG
rnacentral:rRNA from 1 species